AUGGACCAAUCCAUCCCUUUUUCCCGUGCAUAUGCAUCGGACUCGGAUGACGAUGGUCCCGAUGAAGAAGUUGAUGAGGAGGGGUUCACGCCGAAGGAGGCCGAAGCAUUAAAGAAGGUAUUCGGGUGGGAUCACAAGACACCAUUGUUCAAGGAUCUUAGUCUCGCGGAUGAAGCCGUUGUGGAUGGUGGCAAAUGCAUAUCUCUUGGAGCUAGGCCAAGUUCUCAC
rnacentral:rRNA from 1 species